rnacentral:rRNA from 1 species
UACGAAGGGGCUAGCGUUGCUCGGAAUUACUGGGCGUAAAGCGAGUGUAGGCGGUGUGGUAAGUCGGAUGUGAAAGCCCCGGGCUCAACCCGGGAAGUGCACUCGAUACUGCCACGCUAGAGUAUCGGAGAGGUUGGUGGAAUUCUCGGUGUAGAGGUGAAAUUCGUAGAUAUCGAGAGGAACACCGGUGGCGAAGGCGGCCAACUGGACGAAUCACUGACGCUGAGGCGCGAAAGCGUGGGUAGCAAACAGG